ensembl:lncRNA
UUAAGAGAUGCUACACAUGUUCUGAAUAAACAGCCAUUCAUUGUUGAAACGCAGUGACUAUUGAGUCCUGUUAUUCGUCUAGGCGACGAACGCCACAUGGUGUCAGAAGAAAAGUGUGUGAAGACGUGAUUUUGUUGGUACUGAAGUGUGCAUCGCCAUGGCUUUGGCCAAGUUUUCCCCGCCUGAGCAGUUCGACUUUCACAAGCCCGAAGCGUGGCCGGACUGGAAGCAAAGGUUUGCCAGAUACCGAGUUGCAUCAUUGCUCGCGGAGGAUGACGAAGUGGUACAGGUAAAUGCCUUGAUAUAUUCAAUGGGAGCAGAGGCUGAGCACAUAUUCAAGUCAUUCACGUUCACAGCAGUAGGUGAUAGCGACAAAUACAACGUAGUAAUGGCCAAGUUUGAUGAACAUUUUAUCCCGAAGCGCAACGUUAUCUAUGAACGUGCAAAGUUCCAUUCACGAGCCCAACUUCCCGGGGAAAGUGUGGAAGCAUUCGUCAGGCAGCUUUAUGAGUUAGCUGAAAACUGUGUUUUUGGAGCACAGAAAGAUGAACAGAUGCGGGAUCGCAUAGUGAUUGGAAUUCGUGAUAAACAAGUGUCACAAAAACUUCAAAUGAAAAGUGAUCUCACAUUGCGCACAGCAAUUGAAAUGGCGAGACACUGCGAGUUAAUAAAAUCUCAGAACACUGAAGGAGAGAAACAUGCACAGCACGUGGACAACAUAAAGUCAGUUAGAAAGAAAGAAUUCAAAAGAACUGGCUACUCAGGAAAGACAUUUAUAAAGAAUAGAAAAGGAACAUGCACAAGAUGUGGCCGUAAUCAUGACGAUGGCGAAGAAUGUCCUGCAAAAGGGAAAAAGUGUCUAAAGUGUAACAAAGUAGGACACUACGCUGCCGUGUGCCACUCAAAAGCAUCUGUACAUGAAAUAACUGAGGCUAAUGUGGAAGAAUGCAUGUUCUUAGGUUCAGUGCAACAGGAGCAAAGCAUGAUGCAUUCAUUGUUAGCUGAGGAUGUGCCACCGUGGCGCACUACUCUGACUGUAGCACACACACCAGUCUCGUUCAAGAUUGACUCCGGUGCGGAUGCAUCAGUGAUGUCUGAAACCACAUAUGAAACAUUAAAGGAAAAGCCCAAACUCGUAGAGGUGAAAAACACACUGCAAAGUCCAGGCGGCGUUGUGGCCACAAGGGGGCAGUUUUUAGCCAAAAUUAAAGCCCAUGUCAAUGGACAGCUACGAAACUGCUGUUUCCGUGUAGUGGUUGUGAAAACCAGUGGAGAAAACCUCCUUAGCCGAACUGUGGCUACUAAGCUAGGCUUAAUUAAGCGCUUGGAUGAAGUCAGCUCAUUCAGUGGUCUGGGCACACUCAAAGGGGAUCCGGUGAAAAUCACCUUAAAAGAUGAUGCAGAGCCGUACAGUGUAGCCGUACCAAGACGGGUUCCUAUUCCCUUACUCUCCAAAGUAGAGGAGGAACUGAAAAGAAUGGAGUCAAUGGGCAUAAUAGAGAAAAUAACCGAACCAACUGAAUGGUGUGCUCCUAUGGUGCCAGUGAUUAAAAAGAAUGGAAAAAUAAGAAUCUGUGUGGACUUAAAAAGACUUAAUGAGAAUGUGAAACGAGAGAAGUUCAUCUUACCUACGUUGGACGAUAUACUUCCCAAGUUAGCCAAGAGUACAGUGUUCUCCAGCCUGGAUGCCGAGAGUGGAUUUUGGCAAAUCCCUCUAAAAGAAGACAGUGCACGUCUGACCACCUUCAUCACACCGCUGGGCAGAUACUGCUUCAAAAGGUUACCCUUUGGCAUCACGUCAGCGCCCGAAAUCUUCCAACGAA